GAUGAAGAACGCAGCUAAAUGCGAUAAGUAAUGUGAAUUGCAGAAUUCAGUGAAUCAUCGAAUCUUUGAACGCACAUUGCGCCCGCCAGUAUUCUGGCGGGCAUGCCUGUUCGAGCGUCAUUUCAACCAUCAAGCCCCCGGGCUUGUGUUGGGGACCUGCGGCUGCCCGCAGGCCCUGAAAACCAGUGGCGGGCUCGCUGUCACACCGAGCGUAGUAGCAUAUCAUCUCGCUCUGGGCGUGCUGCGGGUUCCGGCCGUUAAAGCCUUUUUUUUUUACCCAAGGUUGACCUCGGAUCAGGUAGGAAGACCCGCUGAACUUAAGCAUAUCAAUAAGCGGAGGA
rnacentral:misc_RNA from 1 species